rnacentral:lncRNA from 1 species
GAGGGUCGAGAGCCGCUUCGAGCAUUCCAGAUGUCACCUUGUGAGUAAUACAAUGCUUUCAGAACUUUGGUGAGGAGAGAAUCUGGUUUUUUAGAAAUGCGCCACAUCUGCUUAGCUAGCAUUGUUGUGUUGAAUGUUUGUAAGUCUUUAAAGCCCAAUCCCCCUUCAUUUUUCCUGGUUUUCAACAAGUCCCACCUCUUCCAAUGAACCCCAGCUUUUUUGUUGUUGCUUUUCCACCAAAAUGAUGCCACAUUUCUCUCAAUUGCCUUGCAAAUUGAUGUAGGUACUUUAAAUAUUGACAUCGCGUAUUGAGGGAUAGCUUGGAUUACUGCUUUCAAGAGUAUUUCUUUUCCUGCCUUUGAUAAUGAUUGUUCCUUCCAGCUGUCGAGUUUGGAGUUGACCCGAGCUUGUAUCCACGCAAAGAGGUCUUUCUUGGAGUUCCCCCAAUCUGAAGGUAUGCCUAAAUACUUCCCAGUCUUAGUGAUUUCUGGUACUCGAAGAGUUGAAGCCAUGUUGUGCUUUAGAGGGGUAGGACAACCCUUGCUGAAAUAGAUUCCCGACUUAUUGAGAUUAAUUGCCUGGCCAGAUGCGUAGCAGUAUUGAUUUAGGAUGUUUGCCAAUUGCUGACAUUUUGCUAUUGUGCCAUUCAGGAAAAAGAUGGAGUCGUCAGCGAAGAGGAGGUGGGACAAAGCAGGACAGUGGAUGUUCAUUUUGAUUUCCUGUGAGCAAGCCCUCUUGG